GCCGCUUGAGCCCGGUGCCUCGCGGCCCGUCUGGAAUGGCCGCCCCGUGGGUUCUGCCCGCGCCUCUCAGCCCGGCGCAGCUCAAGCGCCUGGAGCAGCAUCGCUACAGCGCGGCCGGACGCUCGCUGCUGGAGCCCUGGCUGCAGCCUUACUGGGGCUGGCUGGUGGAGCGGCUCCCGCCGUGGUUGGCCCCCAACGCCAUCACCCUCGGCGGCCUCUUGCUGAACUGCCUCACGGCGCUGCCGCUCAUCGCCUCCUGCCCCACCGCCACCGAGCAGGCACCUUCUUGGGCAUACAUCCUGGGUGCAUUAGGACUUUUUAUCUACCAGUCUCUGGAUGCCAUUGAUGGGAAGCAAGCCAGAAGAACAAACAGUAGCUCUCCUCUAGGAGAGCUCUUUGAUCAUGGUUGCGACUCAAUUUCUACAGUUUUUGUUGUCCUUGGAUCCUGCAUAGCAAUCCGACUAGGAACAAACCCUGACUGGUUGUUUUUCUGUUGUUUUGUGGGACUGUUCAUGUUCUAUUCUGCUCACUGGCAGACAUAUGUAUCAGGCACAUUAAGGUUUGGAAAAGUUGAUGUAACUGAAGUUCAAAUAGCCAUAACGGUGUUGCUGUUGGUAUCUGCAUUUUGUGGAACAGCAAUAUGGGACUAUAAGGUGCAUUUGAUAGGCCUAGAACUGAAGUUCUUUGCAGUUGUUGGCAUACUGUGUGGAACAGCAGUUUCAUGUUUCAAUUACUUCCGCGUCAUCUUUGGUGGAGGGGUUGGAAAGAAUGGAUCUACAAUAGCAGGAACAAGUGUUCUUUCACCAGGUGUCCACAUUGGGCUACUUGUCACACUGGCCACUGUGAUCUACAAAAAAUCUACAAUUCAGCUGUUUGAGAAACAUCCGUGCCUGUAUGUCCUGACAUUUGGAUUUGUGAAUGCUAAAAUCUCACAGAAGUUAGUGGUGGCUCACAUGACAAAAAGUGAAAUCAGUCUUCAAGACACUGCAUUUAUUGGACCAGGACUUCUCUUUUUGGACCAGUACUUCAACAGUGUCAUUGAUGAAUAUGUUGUUCUAUGGAUAGCUCUGUUCAUAUCCUUGUUUGAUAUGCUGAGAUAUGCCACUGGUGUAUGCCUACAGAUUGCUGCUCAUCUUCAUAUACAUGUCUUCCGAAUUUCAUCUCAUCAAGCUCCUGAACAGGUUCAGAACCAUACUGACUGAUUAAAUAGGUCAAGGAGAAAAUAAACAGUUAGCAGAAUGCUGAACGAAGCAGCCUCUCUGGGAAAACAGAUUAAGCUUUUCAGUAAACUAGUUUCAUGAGAAAACAGCUCAUGCUAUCCCAGAAAUUACCAGAUGCUAGAGUUAUUAAAUACAAAGUCAUGCAGGUUCUGUUUCAGUGUUUUAGACAUUGGAGCUGUUACUUCAUACCAUAACUGUCACAUUUGAAACUUUUGUUAUCUCCUGCUAAGUACUCUUAAUUAUGUACUUCUGGUCUCAGACUGUAAGCUGCAAACCAAGGUGCUACAAAACAGAAUUAUUUUUUCCUAAAGCAACUGAUUUUCUAACGUUAGUUUCUGAAGUAUUCUACUGUGAAAUGGUAGUCAGAGGUGGAUACAGUACUGCAUUGUCAAGACUGGUAAAAAUGAGGGAUCCUUGAGGUAAAACUAGUAAUCUGCUUUGAAAGUUCUAAAGAACAAGAUAGUGCACCAGUAAGAUGAAGGAAAUAGAGGAAAAUUUUCUUGUUCUCUAUUUCAAGAUACUGUUGGCAGUGCCUUUAGGAUUCAUGCAUUCUCUAGUAUCUAGCUUAUUGUUACUAAACACACUUGUAGCUUAGAGGCUGUUUUCUAAUGACAGUUUCUGCUUUUGUGAUUAUAGUAAGGUUUGCCUCAUUGUACCCAUUAUCUAGGCUGUGGGCAGCUAGGUACUGGAGGACUGUAGCUUCACCUACCCUAAUUUUUAUCUGUGAAACUGUGUAAGUUGAAUGACUAAGUUCCUUGAACUUUAAUGUCUGUUAGACUGUGACAAUGCAACACACCCGAAUAUGACAGUGCAACCUACCUGCGUGUAACUAAUUCCCUCUGAACUGUGUUUGCCAUUGUUUGUAUUAAUUUCUGUUGUAAUCUAAUUUAUUUUGUUACUGUCACCAUACUUUAUCCAAACAAAACUAUAAGGAACUAAAACCUAUGUAUAGUAAAACUCUACAAAAUAGAAGGUCAGUCCUAAUAUCAGCCUUUUUUCUUUUCAUUACUGAAAAAAUAAAGUAGCUUACUGUCUGUACUAGCAAAUUACAGCUUGCACACAAAACCUAAAUGCUCAAGCUCCUUUAAAGAGGUAAUACAUUAAUAUUAUUUUUGUGAAAAGCUGCUGAAUGUACACAUUGUCACUUUUACUUGUUGCCAUGUAGCUGAGCUUUAAGGUUCAUAAAGAUGUUACUGAAUUGUACAAUAAAGAAUGCUAUUAUUUGUUGCAAAAAUAUUACACUGCAGCUUCCUAGCUGCUGAAUUCAGAAAGCCUGCCUGAGAUAUAGGACAGAAAAUACUGUGCAACAUGUUCCCGAGACCUCAAAAAUGUAGUAUAGUACUAGGUAUAAAUAGUUGUAAAGUUAUGGUAGAGGUAAGGAAAUGGUAGAAAACAAGUGCAGAAAAAAGCCAGAAACAAGAGGUAAUGGCAACAAGUAACCUAGUAUAGAAGAGAGGAAGCAAAGCCUGUUAACUGUAUAGCAUAGCAUCAUCUAAUUAUCCUUAAAGGGCAGAGACUGAACACCACAGCUAAAAUUAGCAUUGCUAGUUAUCUGAUACUCACCAUGGACCCAUACUACCUCAUGCAUCAUCCUAGCAAUGUAAUUUCUGUGUUUGCUCUGUCCCUGAGUGCCAUCUGACACAACACAAGACAGCUCCAUACAGGCUACUUGCUCAAUUUCAGUUGCAACCCACAAACUGAAUUUUCUGUAAAUUAGCUAUCACUGAUCUGUCUCCUGGCACUGAUGAGCAGUCAUCAGAUAUGUUGGUUCUGAACUAAAAAUCCUAGUAAGCUGCAGAUAAGAAGUUGUACGGUCUGGUUUUGAAAUACAUUGUUUUAAAGUAAUCAGAUCUGCUUGUGUGGGUGGUUUUUGUGUUAUCUACUAUUAUAUGAAACCUAACAACACGUAUUUUAGGAACUACCUAAUUUGUAAAAGUGGAUGUUCAAGUGUAAUGACUUUCUGUAAAAACAAACUACAAUGCAAGCUAGGCUGGCUGUUUUAAUUUAUAAUCACUGACUGUAAUGAGAUGCAUUAAUGAAAAAUGCUUCAUUCUUAAAACAGACCUCCCUGAACUGCUAAUCAUUUGAAACUGCAAAAAUUAAUAUUCCAUUUCAAGUACAAGUUGUUUCUCCAUUGAGCCAUCAGAAUAACAUGGACUGAAGAGACUUGCGAACGGUUGCCAUCUCCUGCUGUUGCUGUUACAAGAAAAGGAGAUUAUUCUGAACAGAUGCCAUACCAAUAUGAUUCCUUAAUCUAAUUAAAUGAUGUCUAACGACUUCCUUAUAGCAUGUUCUAUUUUUGUAUUUAACAAAGUUCUUUAUAACUACCGAUACUUACAGUGUCCAUCAUGAUCUUCUUCUGUAGCAUAGCCAUUUCUUUGCGAAGUUCAUUCUGUGCACCAGCUAGAAGAGUUUCAUUGUUUUUCUCUAGCUCUUCCAUGCUCUGAAGUUAAAGAUAAUCUUAAUUCAGAAUGCUCAAUAUCAGAAGUUCAGUUUAGAAACAGACAAUCCAUUAUUCAGAUUACAGUUCGAUUUUUAUAGCAGUAGUGGUCACUGACAGUUGCAGAUGAAUUUUGUCAUGAACUUAGAAAAGAAAAUUGUAUAGGACUCCAAUCUACACCGCUGCUUAAACAACACAUACCCUGUGACAGAAACAGUCCUUUCCACUCAGCAUCUACCAGGUGUAAGCUACUAUCCUGCAUUUCAAUAAAGAUGACAAUUCUACAA